rnacentral:rRNA from 1 species
GACGAACGCUGGCGGCGUGCCUAAUACAUGCAAGUAGAACGCUGAAGAGAGGAGCUUGCUCUUCUUGGAUGAGUUGCGAACGGGUGAGUAACGCGUAGGUAACCUGCCUUGUAGCGGGGGAUAACUAUUGGAAACGAUAGCUAAUACCGCAUAACAAUGGAUGACACAUGUCAUUUAUUUGAAAGGGGCAAUUGCUCCACUACAAGAUGGACCUGCGUUGUAUUAGCUAGUAGGUGAGGUAAUGGCUCACCUAGGCGACGAUACAUAGCCGACCUGAGAGGGUGAUCGGCCACACUGGGACUGAGACACGGCCCAGACUCCUACGGGAGGCAGCAGUAGGGAAUCUUCGGCAAUGGGGGCAACCCUGACUGAGCAACGCCGCGUGAGUGAAGAAGGUUUUCGGAUCGUAAAGCUCUGUUGUAAGUCAAGAACGGGUGUGAGAGUGGAAAGUUCACACUGUGACGGUAGCUUACCAGAAAGGGACGGCUAACUACGUG